GAUGAACGCUGGCGGCGUGCCUAAUACAUGCAAGUCGAGCGAACGGACGAGAAGCUUGCUUCUCUGAUGUUAGCGGCGGACGGGUGAGUAACACGUGGAUAACCUACCUAUAAGACUGGGAUAACUUCGGGAAACCGGAGCUAAUACCGGAUGAUAUUUUGAACCGCAUGGUUCAAAAGUGAAAGACGGUCUUGCUGUCACUUAUAGAUGGAUCCGCGCUGCAUUAGCUAGUUGGUAAGGUAACGGCUUACCAAGGCAACGAUGCAUAGCCGACCUGAGAGGGGGAUCGGCCACACUGGAACUGAGACACGGUCCAGGCUCCUACGGGAGGCAGCAGUAGGGAAUCUUCCGCAAUGGGCGAAAGCCUGACGGAGCAACGCCGCGUGAGUGAUGAAGGUCUUCGGAUCGUAAAACUCUGUUAUUAGGGAAGAACAUAUGUGUAAGUAACUGUGCACAUCUUGACGGUACCUAAUCAGAAAGCCACGGCUAACUACGUG
rnacentral:rRNA from 1 species